CGCUGGCGGCAGGCUUAACACAUGCAAGUCGAACGAGAAGCUAUCUUCGGAUAGUGGAAAGUGGCAAACGGGUGAGUAACACGUGGGAAUGUACCUUAAGGUUCGGGACAACAGUUGGAAACGACUGCUAAUACCGGAUAAGCUCUUCGGAGGAAAGAUUUAUUGCCUUAAGAUCAGCCCGCGCAAGAUUAGUUUGUUGGUGAGGUAAUGGCUCACCAAGACUACGAUCUUUAGCAGGUUUGAGAGGAUGAUCUGCCACACUGGGACUUAGAUACGGCCCAGACUCCUACGGGAGGCAGCAGUGGGGAAUAUUGCACAAUGGACGAAAGUCUGAUGCAGCCAUGCCGCGUGAGUGAUGAAGGCCCUAGGGUUGUAAAACUCUUUCAAUAGUGAAGAUAAUGACUGUAACUAUAGAAGAAGCACCGGCUAACUCCGUGCCAGCAGCCGCGGUAAUACGGAGGGUGCUAGCGUUAUUCGGAAUUACUGGGCGUAAAGCGAGCGUAGGCGGUUAGUAAAGUUGGAUGUGAAAGCCCGGGGCUCAACCUCGGAACUGCAUUCAAAACUCACUAACUAGAAUCUGGUAGAGGGUGGUGGAAUUCCUAGUGUAGAGGUGAAAUUCGUAGAUAUUAGGAGGAACACCAGUGGCGAAGGCGGCCACCUGGACCAGCAUUGACGCUAAGGCUCGAAAGCGUGGGGAGCAAACGGGAUUAGAUACCCCGGUAGUCCACGCCGUAAACGAUGUGUGCUAGUUGUUGGAUUUAUUUUCAGUGACACAGCUAACGCGUUAAGCACACCGCCUGGGGAGUACGGCCGC
rnacentral:rRNA from 1 species